rnacentral:rRNA from 1 species
GAUUAUGGCUCAGGAUGAACGCUAGCGACAGGCUAACACAUGCAAGUCGAGGGGCAGCACGGGAGUAGCAAUACAACUGGUGGCGACCGGCGCACGGGUGAGUAACGCGUAUGCAACCUACCUAUCGAGAGGGGAAUAACCCGGCGAAAGUCGGACUAAUACCGCAUAAAACAGGGGCACCGCAUGGUGAUAUUUGUUAAAGAAAUUCGCUGAUAGAUGGGCAUGCGUUCCAUUAGGUAGUUGGUGAGGUAACGGCUCACCAAGCCGACGAUGGAUAGGGGAACUGAGAGGUUGGUCCCCCACACUGGUACUGAGACACGGACCAGACUCCUACGGGAGGCAGCAGUGAGGAAUAUUGGUCAAUGGGCGGGAGCCUGAACCAGCCAAGUCGCGUGAAGGAAGAAGGAUCUAUGGUUCGUAAACUUCUUUUGCAGGGGAAUAAAGUGCAGGACGUGUCCUGUUUUGUAUGUACCCUGAGAAUAAGGAUCGGCUAACUCCGUGCCAGCAGCUGC